UUCUAGCAAAAGGAGGCGCGGCGCACAGCUCAGUAGCACGUGGCUAACCUGCCCUUGGGAUAGGAACAACCCCGGGAAACUGGGGCUAAUUCCCAAUAGGUGAAGAACUCUGGAAUGAGUCUUCGCCAGAAAGGACUCCUACACUAUGCUUGUAGGUUUCGCCCAAGGAUGGGGCCGCGACCGAUCAGGUUGUUGGCGAGGUAAUGGCUCACCAAGCCUUUUACCGGUGCGGGCCGUGGGAGCGGAAGCCCGGAGAUGGGUACUGAGACAAGGACCCAGGCCCUACGGGGCGCAGCAGUCGCGAAAACUUUGCAAUACACGCAAGUGUGACAGGGCUAUCCCGAGUGCCAUCCGCUGAGGAAGGCUUUUACCCAGUCUAGAAAGCUGGGGGAAUAAGGAGAGGGCAAGUCUGGUGUCAGCCGCCGCGGUAAUACCAGCUCUCCGAGUGGCGUGGAUGUUUAUUGGGCCUAAAGCAUCCGUAGCUGGCUAUGUUAGUCCCCUGUUAAAUCCACCGAAUUAAUCGUUGGAUUGCGGGGGAUACUGCUUGGCUAGGGGACGAGAGAGGCAGACGGUAUUUUCGGGGUAGGGGUGAAAUCCUAUAAUCCCGGGAAGACCACCAGUGGCGAAGGCUGUCUGCUAGAACGCGCCCGACGGUGAGGGAUGAAAGCUGGGGGGAGCGAACCGGAUUAGAUACCCGGUAGUCCCAGCUGUAAACGAUGCAGCUAGUGUUGGACGGCCACGUGCCGUCUAGUGCGCAGGGAAGCUGUAAGCCUGCGCCUGGGAGUACGAUCGCAGAUGAACUAAGGAAUGGCGGGGGAGCACACAGGGUGAGCUGCGUU
rnacentral:rRNA from 1 species